AAUCAACGCUGGCGGCGUGCCUCAGACAUGCAAGUCGAACGAUUAAAGCUCUCUUCGGAGAGUGCAUAGAGUGGCGCACGGGUGAGUAACACGUAAGUAAUCUACCUUCGAGUGGGGAAUACCGUCCGGAAACGGACGCUAAUACCGCAUAAUGCAGCGGCAUCGCAAGAUGACAGUUGUUAAAGAUUUAUCGCUUGAAGAGGAGCUUGCGGCGGAUUAGCUAGUUGGUAAGGUAAUGGCUUACCAAGGCUACGAUCUGUAACCGGUCUAAGAGGACGGUCGGUCACACUGACACUGAAUAACGGGUCAGACUCCUACGGGAGGCAGCAGUCGGGAAUUUUGGGCAAUGGGCGAAAGCCUGACCCAGCAACGCCGCGUGAAGGAUGAAGUAUUUCGGUAUGUAAACUUCGAAAGAAUGGGAAGAAUCAAUGACGGUACCAUUUAUAAGGUCCGGCUAACUACGUGCCAGCAGCAGCCACAGUAAU
rnacentral:rRNA from 1 species